UGAUGUUGGCUUUCCUUUGACAUGCAGUUCUCAACCUAUUUGCAAGAAAGAUGCAUUUGCUCCAUGUGGACCUUAUCUGGGUGAAUCUGAAUCUUCUUGUACUUGAAUUAUCAGGUAUGCAUGCACCAACUCAGAUAAAAUAGCGUUUUAUGUAUGUAAAUGUAUUUUUUUCAUUUUCUAUUUUGCAGUGUUCUUUUAUUAUUCAUAAUAUGCCCUUGAUUGUAACAAAACACUCUUCGAUAUCAGAAAGGUUCCUUGUAUCUUUAAACUUCAGUAAUGUAAUUGUAGUGUAGUAAAAAAUGACUGAAAAGAAAAAUCUACCUACUAAAUUUGUCGAGGUGAUAGACAUUUUUGAGGUUGCUUCGUGAACCCAAUUAUGGCAUUUAGUACAUUUUACUUAUACACCUAACAAACAUUAAAUGGGAAUUAAAUUUUUUGAAGGUGCAUAUAUACCUACCUUCUGAUCAAAAGAGUUGAAUGCCAACUUAUUUUCAACCAAUUUUUUCUGAACAUAUUAAUAUCUAUUUGAUCAUGUUGAUCUGUUCUUGUGUGUUGAACUUAUCAAAAUAAAAUAUAUUUUAAAAAAAAUAUAUGUUGUUGCGUGUUGAUAAAGUCUUACUGAAUUAGUGAUUCCCACUGUUUUUUCUUGUUAAAGAUACUAUGACUGCAACUCAAGUUAGGGGUAUUUAUUUAUUUAUUGUAAAGUCAAAUUUAGAGAUGGCAAAGUCGAAGGUUGAUACCUUUUAUUGUGAUCACGUUACUCAUUAAACUAUAUCCUUUACUACUUGAAUUAUCAACCUCAAACAUGUGGGCACUGUUUGGCCCCAGGACCUAAAUGGCUUGUUUGAAAUGAUUGAAAUUAAUUUCAGAUGACAUUAUUAACGUAUAAAGUUGAACAUGCGGGGUAUAUAUUUUGGUCUGUGAAUACAUUAAAUUUAGUUUAAUUUCGUAUCUGCAAUUAGGCUAGGGUUGAUCCCCUGCUGAUGGUAGUUUGGAGUUGUCAAGGUUCCUCAAUUGAUCAAACGAAACUGUUCCUAGUUAAAAUUUGUCUAGUUCUGCUGAAAAGUUACUAUAAAAUUUAAGGAUAAAAUUUCUAACUCAUUUAUUAAUGAGUGUUAGUAUUAUAUAUGAGAUAAAUUCAUGUUGAUACUAAAUACCGACGUAUGGGCAAUAAAGAAGGGACACAUGUAUUACUGAUUUAUCUUAUCGCUUACAGUUCCACAUUAGUCUCGAUCAUUUGACAUAAAAGUCAACAUAUCAUUUUCCUUUAUUAAUCGUGGAUUUAUGCUUAAGGUUUGUAGGUAGAGAGUGCCUAUAUUCUUAAACCUGCUAAUUUAUGGAUGUUGCAAUGCAUGCGUUAUUAAAUAAGCUUGAAUUUUAUGUACCUUUUUAAGUUUAAUUUUGAUUUCAAGAGUCAUUUAUAUUUUCUAAAAAGAAAUUUUUGGAACAAAUUUAUUUUCUGGUGUUUGACUUAGUUGCACACGUGUGUAUACAAGUCUCUCUGUGUGUGUACGUGUGUGUGAGAGAGAUUUAAUUACUAUAUCAUUUAUGAGGAGAACAACUUUUGUUGACAAAGUUUUAAGAGUCAUGGAUCAUUAAUGAAAGAUCCAUUAAUAUCAGAAAGUGACUUGUAUCCAUGCAGUUAGAGUGCUCAUGCAGCAAGAUGUCAUCCUUUACUAGCUUCAGGAACUUUAACGUUACAUAAAUAGAUCCUGUAUUACUCUUUUACUUCUCUGCUGACUCUUUCUAAGAUGAAAAGAUAUUGUGCCUUAUUAAUACUCCCUCCGUCCAGGAUAAAAGUCCUGGUAGACUUUUCACGCAUAUUAAAAGAUGAAUAAAAUGACAAAAUUGCCCAUAAUAAUAUCAUUAAAUAUGGAGAGAGAAUUAAAAUAAGAAAAAUAUGAGAUAUUUAAUGCUACGGGUAUAAUAGGAAAAUAUGUGUAAAAGUUUGGUUAUUAAAGGAAAAUGGACAUUUAACAUGGGACCACCCAAAAUAGUAAUAAGGACUUUUAUCAUGGGACGGAGGGAGUAUAUGAUUGAAAAGAGCAUCCACCUAAACUUUGUCAUAAAAAUAAAAAUAAGACUCCCUUUGUUAAAAAAUACUCAUUACAACAAUAUUAAAAUUUUCAAAAUUUAUGUGAUUUAUUUAAUUAUGAAAACAAUAAAUUUGUAAUGAGUAAUACUUUUUAGAUAGUUUUUAAUAUUUAUAAUUGUUUUGACUGGGAUGAAAUGGAUUCAUAUCCGUUUAAUUUUAAAAAUAUUUAAAUUGACUUCAAAAAAUUAAAAUAGCUUUUAUAUUUUGGGAGCCGACAGUUUUAUGUUUGAUUUGAUUUGAUUUGUUCAUCAAGUUAAUUAAAUUGUGGUAUUUACUGUAGCAAUUCAUUUAUACACUCAACCCUUAAUAGAUGAGAAUUACAGUACUCCUACUUUUAUAUGUUAUGAUCCUUUUAAAUAGGCACACCUACCAUUGCAGUUAAUGUAUGUUUUUGCCCAUUACUAUGUAUUUAUUGGUAUAUUAAAGUUGAUUCAGCAACCUCUUGUAGACUUGUCAUUUAAUCAAUUAGAUCCAAUUCAAAUCCAGCUACUCACCUGGAUUUGAUGUUCUGUUAUUUCAAAUUAAGAUUAGUGGUCAAGUCAUAUUUUAUACAGAGAUAAAAAUACCAUUUAAUAUUUCUGUUAGUACUAUGAAAGUUUAAUUGCAUAUAGAUUUGAGUGACUCUACAGUUUCAUAUUUGUUGCAUCUAUAUAAUAGCUACUUGUAGCAUCAUAAAAUAAGUUCAUAUUAGCUCAGGUUCUUAUAACAAAAGGUUUAAGACAAAUUUAGUAGUACAUUUUAGUUAUCUUGAGCUUGAUUAGAUAUGGAUUUAAUGGAAACGAACCGCCUAUAACGACGGUUUUAUUUGUCGCUAUAUCGUAGAAAGCCGGUCUUCUAUGCUAUAGCGAUGGACAAAACCGUCGCUAUAGCUGGUUCGUUGGAUAGAGCCGGGCGGAUUUAAUGAUACUAUUAUUAAAAUUUGUUGCAGCUGAUAGUUUGGUUUUAACUAUAACUUGUUUUAUUUCGGUGCUGUUUUUUAUGUGUAGAUAUGUAAAAUGGUAUGGAGACAGUCUAAUGAGGCCAUAACAAAAAGUUUUAAUACAAAUCUAGCUUCUAUGUGUUAGGUGGGCAAUACAGCAUAAUCAAGGUAGUAUGCCUUUUUCUGGAAAGAAAUACUCCCUCCGUCCCAAAAUGAGAGUUACAUUUAUAUUUGUAAAUUAUAAAUUGACAUGAAGCUGCCAUUACUUGAUAUUCUUAGUUGAUUUGUCAAUGUUAGGGAUAAGUUUGAAAAAAUCAAAAAUUAAGCUGCUGUUCCUUGUAUUCUUAGUUGAUUUGCCAGGGAUAAGUUUGUAAAAAUAAAAAAUUUCUUAAGAAUUGUCCUUAGAGAUGGAAAUUUUUUGGGACGGAAGGAGUAAUAAGUUAAUACUCAAGUAUGAGAUGGGAUCACAGUGAGCCCACACGAGGAGACCUGGUCAGUGUACUUGGGUUUUGGAUGCUUGAAUGUGGCAUAUAAGGUGAGUACAGAAUACCAUAAAAUAAAGUGUAGAUGAGAUGAAAAUCUUUACCUCAAUUCUAGUGUUGCAGUUGUAGCUAAUCUGAAGAUUGUUUACUAAGUUUAUGGACUUUUGAUGUCCUUAGUAUGUAUUUUGUCUUAGUUCUGUUUUAACUUUUGAUUCUUGAGUACUGCUAUUUUCUUGAAUUCCUUGUUCAAAUGGAAAAUAUAGAAUAUUCCUUGAUCAAAUGGCCAAUAUAGAAUAUGUUAAAUUAUGAUGUUUCAGCCAUUUAUAAAAACCGAACGGCAGGUCUAGUCUAAUUGGUUGGCAGUUCUCCCGGCCAUGCGUGGCUAAGCGAAACAGCAUGUGUGGCUGUGUUCGGAAUGACGCAGAUAUCAAGUAUUUAAGUGGGAGAAUUUGUAACACCACAUCUCCGCAUCGAAAAAUAUAGGAUACUUGGAUACAUAAUAUAUAAAGUUGUACUAUAAAUAGGACAUUCGCUCGUGACUUUAGUUAGCCUGUGAUGACCCACGAAGAUACUAUCUGAUGACCCACGAAGAUACUAUUGAAACAAUGGAUUAAAUCUUGAUACAUUCUUGGAAUUUGACGCGGGUUGUUACUGUAUGAGUUUCACCACCAGCUGUAAUAUGCAACAAAAUCAUCAUUUUGUUUCCCCCUUUUUAAAGUUAAAGAGUAAAGUACAUAGUUUUCAUUAUCAACUUGUUCCCUCACUAUAAACUUUGUUGUCGGCUACAACUACAGUUAUUAUUCAUAUUUUGUUCAAACAGAGAGCUGAAUCAUAUCAUACAUCAUCUUGUUGGCUCUUAAUUAAGCCAUACUUAUGAGAUCUCAUUCUUUUGCAGCUAAACGGGUAGCAGUACUUCUCAAAGAGCCAGCAGAGCAAAUGAGGUAUUAGUAUGUCUUCCAUAACUUGGUAUAUGUUAGCAUCAGUCAACUAAAUCUAUUAUGAGGGGUAUGCUAUUCUAUUCAAUUCUUUGUUGGCUAAAUCAUCAUCGUAUUAUAAUUUGUUGACAUGUCCAAUUUUAGCAUGAGCAUGGCAUAAAGUUUCAGUCGGUUCAUUAUGUGUCAUGGGAAAGUUGAUACUUGUAGUAGUGAUAAUUACCAAACUUAUAAAUUUGCUUAGUACCCCACCCCACUCCACUCCACUCCACUCCACUCCACUCCUCAUUUGAGUCCACUUUUUAGGGCUUAAAUAUACUUUAAACCAUUAAAUUUGUCGGAUUUUAGAACUUNNNNNNNNNNNNNNNNNNNNNNNNNNNNNNNNNNNNNNNNNNNNNNNNNNNNNNNNNNNNNNNNNNNNNNNNNNNNNNNNNNNNNNNNNNNNNNNNNNNNAAUUUUAAAGAUUUUGAAGUGUAUUUAAGUCACUUUUUAGUCAUAGUAAUAUAAAGUAACACAAUAUUUUUAAAUUUGUUAUCAUAAUUUUAUUAUUAUACCAUAUUACUAACUAACAAUUUAUUAUGUCAAAGUAUAAGUAGAACAAAAAUAUAUCAUUUCGAAAUGAGUAAUGUUAGGGACAUCAACUAUAUACAAAAAGUUGUGUAUACGAUAUAAAAACAAGAGAAAAUAGGGAGCGAUGUUUACAACUGAAUAUUUUACAUAUUUUGAUUGGUAAUGAAUUUCCUAAUUCCUUGUAUUAAAUUCAUGAGGCAUUUAUAUUGGAAUAUGGUUGAAUUUUAUUAAUGAAAGAAAACAGCAUUUAACCAAGUUUUGUGGAAAGGUAUGCAUUUGUUUAUUGUUGGGAGUGUUUUUUCAUUAAUUUAAACCUAACACAUGAUAAAUGAAUUUGUAUUAAUUAAUAAAUGUUGUUACAUGUGGUUGCCACCUAAAUGAUUUGAUGAGGUGAUGGAAAUAUAUUAUUUUUAGGUUAUUCAAUCAUAUAGAAAGUUGAUAUAUAAAUAUAAAAAAAUUUAAAAAUCUGGGGCCAGUGAAAGGUAGUAUAUCAUUUAUGAAUGUAAAUGCCUAAAGUUUCUUGCCAUUAAAGCACAGUAUUAUGAAUCAAUAUUUUUACAUAAAAAUUAAUAUUUUUAUAUAAUUUUUAAAAAAUUAUGAAUCGUUAUUUUCACAUAAAAAUUAUAAAUCGAUAUUUAAUAUUAACAUAAAUUUAUCGUUAUACGAUGAUAUAGAAUUUGAGUAACGGGUAUUGUAUACUUUUAGUAUAUCGGUUAUUUGUGAUUUACACUUCAAAAAUAAUAGAGAAAAAUAACAAAUACUUUAAACUUUUAUAUUGGUGAGAAAAUUUCAAUUAAUUUGAUCUUCAAAAUACAAAAGGGGAGAUAAAAUAAAUUAAGAAACUAAUAUUUGUUGGGAAAAGUAUGUCAAAAAUAAUUUAUAUUCCAGGAAUUACUUUUUCGUCUUUGUGCAAUUAAAUAUGAAAUCAACAAAAUCAAUUAUGAGAACAAAAAUAACAAAUAACCAUCCACAAGCAAGACACCAAAUUUACGUAGAAAACCCUCUAAAAUUAAGAGGUAAAAACCACGGGUCAAACUCCGAAUCUCCACUAUAUCACUAAUAAUAGGCUUACAAUAAUCCUCUCAAGUUUUAUACCCUAAAACUUGAGGUUACACAAUAAAUUGAGAUAAUACAAAUUUACCUUUAAUUAAGUUGAGAAACCUAAUUAACUUCACCAAAAAAUACCCCAAGCAAUAAAGUCUUCAAGCUUUCAAUUGAACGGAGAUGAUGGCGGAUAUCCACGAACAACAAACAGUAAUUCUCUCAAUUUAUUCUUUUGGUAUCUUCUUACCACCAAGCUUCUCUAUCUCAUGUAUCAAAUAAGACUCCCUCAUAGCCUUAUUUAUAGUACUCUUCUUAAUCCAUUCCUAUUAUGGAUUAGAAACAAUUUAUUCUCCUAAUCAAAUUAGGGAUCACAUCUCCUUGUCUUGGUCACCAACCACUCUAACAAGUAAAUCCUUUUUCAACUUGGAUUCCUUUCAUGUAAUCUCCAAUUCCAAUAUUGCUUCCAUUAACCCAAUUUCUAAUUGGAUUAAUAUCAAGUAUAUAAACCCAUUCUUUUCUAUCUUGGAUUCUAUCUCAUGGGUGAGGACCCACACCCAACAAUCUCCCCCUCCGAACCCAUGAGAGGAGGGAUCACCAACCACAACUCCUUACUCGGAGUUAAUUCCAACGAAGUCUUGGCUCAACUCAAGCUUCUUGGAAUUUUCAAAUAUCUUCAUGUCCGGCUUUGUCUCAUCGGCAUGGUUCUUCUCAAUGGGAGGAUCUAACUCAAACUUGACAGAUUUUUGCUUGCCAAAUUCAUUCACAACCGCUUUGUACCCUGGCUGCGAGCUAUCACUUUUCUUCUUCACUUUUGGUACCCAUUUAAAGCGAAGAGCUUUCUUUUUGUGGUUCUCAUGCAAGGCUUUCCUCCCAUCUCGCACGGCUUUGUACCACACCUUUUUCUGCCUAACUCCCCCAUCUUCAACACCUCUCACAUGCGCCCGCAUCGUAUAAAGAGUGUCUACCUUCUUACCUCUAGUGACCACUAGAGACCCUUUGGUGAGCUUCCAUUGACCUUCACCAAAGUAACUUUUAUAACCAUUCUCAUCAAGCUUACCAGCAGAGAUCAAAUUAAAACGAAUAUCUGGAACAUGUCUGACUUCUCUCAGCAUCAACUUGCAACCACUGUUAGUUUCCAAACAAAUAUCUCCAAUGCCUAUAAUCUUGGAUGCACUUCCGUUUCCCAUCCGCACAUGGCCAAAAUCACCACUACUGUAGGAUGUGAAGAUUUCACCACGCGAAGUAGCAUGGAACGAAGCACCCGAAUCAAUAAUCCAAUCAUUAACAUGACACUUGGGUUUAUCAUCACAAACAAUAGCUACAUCAACGUCGGAUAGAUACACAAUCGAAUCUUUAUCCUCAUCUUUUUCCUUAGACUGCUCCUUCUUUAAAAAUCUGCACUCUCGUCUUAUGUGACCCGGCUUCUGGCAGUGAAAGCAAAUUACUUCUUUUCUAUCUCUUGACCUUCCCCUGAAUUUGUCAUCUUCAGGAGAGUUUCUCCCUUUGUUUUUGCCCCUACUCUGUGCGACAAAAACUUGUGACUCAGCGCUAAUCACCAUAGUAUCUCUUCGCCUCUGUUCCUCGUUAAACAAACUAUCCUUAACUGUAUCCAUAGUCAGCUUGCCAUUAGGAGCGGAGUUACUCAACGAUACAACUAGCGUCUCCCAGCUAUCAGGCAAAGAGCUCAACAACAACAAAGCCUGCAUCUCAUCGUCAAUUACCAUCUUCAUCGUACUCAACUGAUUUAUCAAACUCUGAAAAUCACUCAAGUGUUCUGCAACGGAGUUUCCAUCCUUGAAUUUAGAAUUCACAAGCUUCCUAAUCAAAAAAGCUUUAUUUUGCGCCGUCUUCCUUUCAUACAUGGACUCCAAUUUCUGCCAGAGAGCAUAGGCUUUAGUUUCCGUGGCAACAUGAUGAAACACACUUUGAUCAAUCCACGAUCUGAUCAGACCAAUAGUCUUCCUGUUCAUCUUGUUCCACUGCGCGUCACUCUUGUUUGUGGGCUUAACUCCAUCGUUCUCAAGUGGCUCGUAUAAAUCCUUGCAGUAAAGCAAAUCCUCCAUUCUUGGCUUCCAAAUUGCAUAAUUUGUAGCCUUGAGAUUAAUCAUGCAACCUGCUGUCCAAUCCUCCAUUUAAUUCGCACAAGAAAACCACAAAAAUAACCAAGCUCUGAUACCACUGUUGGGAAAAGUACGCCAAAAAUAAUCUAUAUCCCAGGAAUUACUUUUCCGUCUUUGUGCAAUUAAAUAUGAAAUCAACAAAACCAAUUAUGAGAACAAAAAUAACAAAUAACCAUCCACAAGCAAGACACCAAAUUUACGUGGAAAACCCUCUAAAAUUAAGAGGUAAAAACCACGGGUCAAACUCCGAAUCUCCACUAUAUCACUAAUAAUGGGCUUACAAUAAUCCUCUCAAGUUUUAUGCCCUAAAACUUGAGGUUACACAAUAAAUUGAGAUAAUACAAAUUUACCUUUAAUUAAGUUGAGAAACCUAAUUAACUUCACCACCAAAAAACACCUCAAGCAAUAAAGUCUUCAAGCUUUUAAUUGAACGGAGAUGAUGGCGGAUAUCCACGAACAACAAACAGUAAUUCUCUCAAUUUAUUCUUUUGGUAUCUUCUUACCACCAAGCUUUUCUAUCUCAUGUAUCAAAUAAGACUCCCUCAUAGCCUUAUUUAUAGUACUCUUCUUAAUCCAUUCCUAUUAUGGAUUAGAACAAUUUAUUCUCUUAAUCAAAUUAGGAAUCACAUCUCCUUGUCUUGGUCACCAACCACUAACAAGUAAAUCCUUUUUCAACUUGGAUUCCUUUCAUGUAAUCUCCAAUUUUAAUAUUGCUUCCAUUAACCCAAUUUCUAAUUGGAUUAAUAUCAAGUAUAUAAACCCAUUCUUUUUUUAUCUUAAAUUCUAUUUCAUGGGUGAGUACCCACACCCAACAAUAUUUUCACGUGAAAAUAUCCCAUUGCUCUCACAAAAGACAAUUGAAAGUAUAAAAAAAUUGAAAAAAAAAUGACUCAUAGAAGAUGUAUGAAAUACGCAUGUUAAAUGUUAUAUAAAGUAUAUUUUAGUUUUAAAAAGUGCUUAUGUAUAUAUGAUCUACUUUUAGGAAAAAACAAAAUUUCUUCAGUGUACUGUGCGGGGGUUAUUGAAUUUAUUUUUUUAGAUUUAAUACAUGGUAGAAUAGUGUUUGUGCACAUAUAAUUUCUCAUUAUUUAUAAUCUCUUAUCUUUUUUUUUUUAAUUUGUGUGAAAAGUGCACCGAAGACAUCGUGAUUAAAGAUAAAUUGAGUAUGUUAUUUUAAUAAGAGUCUCUCUCACAUAAUCAUAUAAAGCUAUUAUUUAUAUUUUAGGUAAAAAAAUAUCAUUUUUAAUUUUUUUUUCUUUCAUAUUUGUUAUAGGAUAAAAUGUAAAAUCGACCGCUGAACUUUAGGGGUUUUUAGCUAUUGAGUCAUUUUUUUUUGGUCAACGCAAAUUGAGCCGCUUUCUAUUAAAAAAAUUUAAAAUUUGGACUUUUAUCCUUUGACGGAGGGAGUAAAAAAUUUAGAUUUUGAGCCACAGGCGCCACAUGUGCGUUGACCUGCAUCGUGGCAGAUAUGACGUGGGCAUUUUUCAUUUUAUUUUACACGUGGACGAGCUGACGUGACCUAUUUCGAAUUUUUUCCCAAAACUAUGUCGCUGCACAAAUUCGAACUCGAAACCACCAAUUUGAAACUUUGGUCAAAUGACAACUCGAGCACCACGAGCCUAGCUAUUAUUAUUUCGCAAGGAUUAAUCUUUAUAACUAAAUAAUUCAUUUUCCCCAAAUUAAAAGACAAAACAGAUCCCCAAAUUAGAUCUACUGAGUCUUAAUUCUCAUUUCAUUCUUUCGUUCUUCAUAUGUCACUUUCUCUAAACCUCUCUCGCUCACUCGCUCUCGCUCACCCACUCUCAUCUUUCGCGUUCAGUGGCCUUUCAUCUCAGAAAUUUGUGAGUAAUGAAAAGGGGAAAGCAACUUAAAGAAAAUAGCAACCAAAAGGUUGGGGACAGUUUAAUAUCCACUGAAGUCAGUGGAAUUUCAUCACCAAGGUAUUGUGGGUGUGGGAUACGAGCAAGAAUUUGUACAUCGUCAAAGGGCAACAAUGUAAGGAGGAAGUUUUAUGGUUGUUCAAAUUAUGGUGUUAGUUCUUGUAUUUACUCUUAUAUAAAAUUUUAAAUUUUUACAUACAAUCGUGGUAAAUUGUUAGUUUAAUUUCCUACAGAUACAAACAUUUGUGGCUUUUUUCAAUGGAUUGACUCCAUCCACAUGUUAGAAGAUGCUGAGAAUUCUUCGGGUCUAUUAAAUUUGAGGAGAAUUGAAAUUGACCUAUAGAUGAUGAAGGAGAAAGCUCAUGACUUGGAAGUGCAAGUAUCGAAAAUGGAAAAAAAGAAAGUCAAAUUGAAGAAUGAUUUGAAGUGUUUAAAAGAAGAAAUAAGAAAUUUACAAACUAGGGAGAAGUGGUUGAUACUUGUAAUUGGGGUGUUUUUUGUUUUGUGUUUGAGUAUGUUAAAAACUCUGUUUUAAUAAUUUGUGUAAUUGGAGAAAGCUCUGUUUUAGUUGUUUUGAUGUUUGGAAAAUGAAUGGACCUUUGUAUGAAAUUAUGGUUUUACUUGUGAUUUGAGUAAAAG
rnacentral:lncRNA from 1 species